UACGUAGGUGGCAAGCGUUAUCCGGAAUUAUUGGGCGUAAAGAGCGCGCAGGUGGUUAAUUAAGUCUGAUGUGAAAGCCCACGGCUUAACCGUGGAGGGUCAUUGGAAACUGGUUGACUUGAGUGCAGAAGAGGGAAGUGGAAUUCCAUGUGUAGCGGUGAAAUGCGUAGAGAUAUGGAGGAACACCAGUGGCGAAGGCGGCUUCCUGGUCUGCAGCUGACACUGAGGCGCGAAAGCGUGGGGAGCAAACAGG
rnacentral:rRNA from 1 species